UACGGGGGGGUGCGAGCGUUGUCCGGAAUCACUGGGCGUAAAGGGCGCGUAGGUGGUUUGAUAAGGGUGUGGUGAAAGUCCGGGGCUCAACCCCGGAUCUGCCGUGCCGACUGUCAAACUCGAGGGCUGUAGAGGCAGACGGAAUUCCGGGUGUAGCGGUGGAAUGCGUAGAGAUCAGGCGGAACACCCGUGGCGAAGGCGGCCAGCUGGGCCGUCCCUGACGCUGAGGCGCGAAGGCGUGGGGAGCAAACGGGG
rnacentral:rRNA from 1 species